CCUACGGGGGGCUGCAGUGGGGAAUCUUGCACAAUGGGCGAAAGCCUGAUGCAGCCAUGCCGCGUGAGUGACGAAGGCCUUCGGGUUGUAAAGCUCUUUUAGUGGGGAAGAUAAUGACGGUACCCACAGAAAAAGCCCCGGCUAACUCCGUGCCAGCAGCCGCGGUAAGACGGAGGGGGCAAGCGUUGUUCGGAUUUACUGGGCGUAAAGCGCGCGUAGGCUGCCAAGCAAGUUGGGUGUGAAAUCCCGGGGCUUAACCUCGGAACUGCUUCCAA
rnacentral:rRNA from 1 species